UACCUUGCGCAGUGGCAAUAUCGUAAUCAGUGAAGUUCUACUGAGAUGCGAUUAUUGCUAGUUGAAUAGUGUAAUUGUAUGAGCAAAACUGUGAAAUAAAUUGUUAGUUAAAUUUUAUGAGCAAAACCGUGUAAUAAAUUAUUAGUU